AGACACCUCCACAACUGCAGUGAAAAGAUUCCUGACCUACCGCUGCCUGCCCACCAGCCCUCUGGCACUGGCUGCUCCUCUGAGUGCCUGUCUCUUUGAGUCUGACAGCCUGCCGCGAUGACUGUUCAGAUGAAAGGCACAGCUGCACUUACUGUCUGUUCCACUUUUUGCACUGUGACUGUACCUGAAUCCAAGGUUUUACAGACUACGGAGUGAAGCCAGCCAUCCGCCAUUGUUUAGAAACUAUACCAGGAGGAGAUUGUCACUGGCUGGGAGACAAGACUCAAGGCAAGACAGGCUGAAAUACACGACUUUAGAUCUCAGGGGAACUGCCGAAAGUUACAAUUUGGAGUGAAAAUAUUCUGCAAGACAGGAUGAUGCAAAUGAUUGUGCUUAUAGUUGCUUUCCUCUCUUCCCUUGUGUAUAGUUAGCAUUUCCAUUCACAAAUAUAAUUGUUUUUAUUACACUUUUAUAUGCUGAAUUUUGUUGAUCAUUUAAGUAAUUUACAAAUCUACUGCCGCAGGGUUAAUUGUAGACACCUGUGUUCUGCAUGCUGGCACCCCAGAGAUCUGUCCCAUUGUAUUUCAUUUCCCUGAGUGUGGUGUUGCAGUCUAGUCAUCCGAAUCCAUACUUGGCAAUAUGUGAAAAUCAUUUUCAGGGACACUUUGCUGAUGGGCAGGUGAAUUCGUGUUGUAUGCAGAACACUCUGUACUGGCAUUGAACACUCUGAGAAGUAUUUAUAAACUGUCUCAAUCUUGAGACAUUAGGAGCGAAUAUUUGUAAUAAUUAACACUACAAUGUUAUUUGGUCAUUUUGCCCUUUGUGCUAGUUUUCAGAUUUUGAUAGUAAAAGGGGCAUGGAUUAUCAAGCACACUUCCUGGGCUGUGUGGUCUUCAGUUUGCCGGCUGUUGGGAUCCCAGCGCACAGUAUACAAGCGCCGGAAUCCCGACAGCCAGCAUACCGACAUCCUUUCUCCCUCUUGGGGGUCCAAGAACCCCCUGGAGGGAGAAUAGAUAGCAUAGCGCGCCACCAUGCCCACAGCGCAGUGGGGCUCAUUUGCGCUCGCCCAGCUGUCGGUAUGCAGGCAGUCGGAUUCCGGUGCCAGUAUGCUGCCCGCCGGGAGCCCGGCCGCCGGCAUACCCUACUACUACCCCCGGGGCUAACUCACAGAUGUACACUGAUGCCACCACAACUGCGAAUGUGUACACAGAUACUGUGCAAAAAUAUGCAAAAACCACUUAGACCUGUUUUAAGAUGACCACUGGCAGCUUCACAAGCCCCAGCAAAGACAUUGCGUCAGUCGCAGAUCAGUCGAUUACCUAACGUCUGAUUAGCCCUAUGGGUGCACAGCAUGGCUGCAGGAAGUAAGAAGCAAGAGACACUGUUAAUGUGUACCGGGAAUGCAGACAUAGACAUGCCCCGAAAGCGCCUGCUUUUGUUACCUUCCCCAAAUGGUCCCUGCCUGUCAAUCAAUUUGCAUAUCCUCUCUGCAAUGCCAUCGCAAGACCAUUAUGGUACAUGUACAUUGUGACUUAGACACAUGCGUAGUUGGCCAAAAAUCACUAUGCAAAAACAUUGCCCCCUAUGAGAGACCAUUAAAUGUAAUAUUGACUUUGAUAGAUCAUUUAAAUGCACCAUUGAUAAAAUAUCUGCUGUAUUCAUGGGCCCGAUCAUAACUAUAUCGAGCCCUGGCAUGUCACUUUUCCUGCUUUGGAGUUUUGUGGGGUCAUAGGUACAGAUGUGAGGUGGACACUUUUCAUGAUUUGUGUUUUGGUUUUGGUUCUAAUUCCACUUUCGUGUUUUGGUU